AUUGAACGCUGGCGGCAUGCCUUACACAUGCAAGUCGAACGGCAGCGGGGGAGAAGCUUGCUCUUCCUGCCGGCGAGUGGCGAACGGGUGAGUAAUACAUCGGAACGUGCCCUGUAGUGGGGGAUAACUAGUCGAAAGAUUAGCUAAUACCGCAUACGACCUGAGGGUGAAAGUGGGGGACCGCAAGGCCUCAUGCUAUAGGAGCGGCCGAUGUCUGAUUAGCUAGUUGGUGGGGUAAAGGCCUACCAAGGCGACGAUCAGUAGCUGGUCUGAGAGGACGAUCAGCCACACUGGGACUGGGAAACGGCCCAGACUCCUACGGGAGGCAGAAGUGGGGAAUUUUGGACAAUGGGCGAAAGCCUGAUCCAGCAAUGCCGCGUGUGUGAAGAAGGCCUUCGGGUUGUAAAGCACUUUUGUCCGGAAAGAAAUGGCUCUGGUUAAUACCUGGGGUCGAUGACGGUACCGGAAGAAUAAGGACCGGCUAACUACGUGCCAGCCGCCGCCGUAAGAC
rnacentral:rRNA from 1 species